UACGUAUGGUGCAAGCGUUAUCCGGAUUUACUGGGCGUAAAGGGAGCGCAGGCGGCGCGCCAAGUCUGAUGUGAAACCCCGGGGCUCAACCCCGGGCAUGCAUUGGAAACUGGCGGGCUGGAGUGCCGGAGAGGUAAGCGGAAUUCCUAGUGUAGCGGUGAAAUGCAUAGAUAUCACGCAGAACUCCGAUUGCGAAGGCAGCAUACCGGCGCCCUACUGACGCUGGGGCACGAAAGCGUGGGUAUCGAACAGG
rnacentral:rRNA from 1 species